rnacentral:rRNA from 1 species
GGUGAACGCUGGCGGCGUGCUUAACACAUGCAAGUCGAACGGUGAAGCAGAGCUUGCUCUGUGGAUCAGUGGCGAACGGGUGAGUAACACGUGAGCAACCUGCCCCUGACUCUGGGAUAAGCGCUGGAAACGGCGUCUAAUACUGGAUAUGUGACGUGACCGCAUGGUCUGCGUCUGGAAAGAAUUUCGGUUGGGGAUGGGCUCGCGGCCUAUCAGCUUGUUGGUGAGGUAAUGGCUCACCAAGGCGUCGACGGGUAGCCGGCCUGAGAGGGUGACCGGCCACACUGGGACUGAGACACGGCCCAGACUCCUACGGGAGGCAGCAGUGGGGAAUAUUGCACAAUGGGCGAAAGCCUGAUGCAGCAACGCCGCGUGAGGGAUGACGGCCUUCGGGUUGUAAACCUCUUUUAGCAGGGAAGAAGCGAAAGUGACGGUACCUGCAGAAAAAGCGCCGGCUAACUACGUGCCAGCAGCCGCCGCCGUAA